rnacentral:RNase_P_RNA from 1 species
AAAGUAAGUUGUCUUAUCGCUUCAAAUUGAAGAGGAAAGUCCGGACAAUAUAGGGCAUUAUACUUCCUAACAGGAAGGUCUCUAACGAGAACAGAUAGUGCAACAGAAAAUAUACCGCCUAAAUUAGGUAAGGGUGAAAAGGUAGUGUAAGAGACUACCGAUUAAAUAGCAAUAUUUAAUGCUUUGUAAACCUUAUAAAUUGAAAGAUCAAGCAGUUCGAGUGUAUUUAUUUACAGUUAGUUGCCCGCUAAGAUUCGAACGGGUAGAUCGAUUGAACUUGGUAGUGAUAUCAGGUCUAGAUAAAUGAUAAGAAUCUGAUUUAUCAGAUACAGAAUCCGGCUUAUAGACUUACACUAUUU